rnacentral:misc_RNA from 1 species
CCUAGAGUUGUAGGCUUUGCCUGCUAUCUCUUACCCAUGUCUUUUGAGUACCUUCGUUUCCUCGGCGGGUCCGCCCGCCGAUUGGACAAUUAAACCACUUGCAGUUGCAAUCAGCGUCUGAAAAACUUUAAUAGUUA